rnacentral:rRNA from 1 species
CCUACGGGUGGCAGCAGUGGGGAAUAUUGGACAAUGGGGGGAACCCUGAUCCAGCCAUGCCGCGUGUGUGAAGAAGGCCCUCGGGUUGUAAAGCACUUUCAGUGAGGAAGAACGCCUGGUGGUUAAUACCCAUCAGGAAAGACAUCACUCACAGAAGAAGCACCGGCUAACUCCGUGCCAGCAGCCGCGGUAAUACGGAGGGUGCGAGCGUUAAUCGGAAUUACUGGGCGUAAAGCGCGCGUAGGUGGCUUGAUAAGCCGGUUGUGAAAGCCCCGGGCUCAACCUGGGAACGGCAUCCGGAACUGUCAAGCUAGAGUGCAGGAGAGGAAGGUAGAAUUCCAGGUGUAGCGGUGAAAUGCGUAGAGAUCGGGAGGAAUACCAGUGGCGAAGGCGGCCUUCUGGACUGACACUGACACUGAGGUGCGAAAGCGUGGGUAGCAAACAGGAUUAGAUACCCCAGUAGUC